CCCCUAGAUGUUCUGGGCCGCACGCGCGCUACACUGAACAGUUCAACAAGUCUUAACCUUGGCCGAUAGGUCUGGGUAAUCUUUGAACGCUGUUCGUGAUUGGGAUAGACCUUUGCAAUUAUGGGUCUUCAACGAGGAAUUCCUAGUAAACGCAAGUCAUCAGCUUGCAUUGAUUACGUCCCUGCCCUUUGUACACACCGCCCGUCGCACCUACCGAUUGAAUGGUCCGGUGAAAUCUCGGGACGGCGGCUUGGUCGCUUGCGUCCGACUGCUGAAACUUGAUUACACCAUAUCAUUUAGAGGAAGGUGAAGUCGUAACA
rnacentral:rRNA from 1 species